AUCGAACGCUGGCGGCAGGCUUAAUACAUGCAAGUCGAGCGAGCGGCGGACGGGUGAGUAAUGUCUGGGAAACUGCCUGAAGGAGGGGGAUAACUACGGGAAACGGUAGCUAAUACCGCAUACCAUCAGAUGUGCCUAGAUGGGAUUAGCUAGUGGGUGGGGUAAUGGCUCACCUAGGCGACGAUCCCUAGCUGGUCUGAGAGGAUGACCGGCCACACGGGAACUGGAACACGGCCCAGACUCCUACGGGAGGCAGCAGUGGGGAAUAUUGGACAAUGGGCGAAAGCCUGAUGCAGCAAUGCCGCGUGUGUGAAGAAGGUCUUCGGUUUGUAAAGCACUUUCAGCGAGGAGGCGUUACUCACAGAGAAAGCACCGGCUAACUCCGUGCCAGCAGCCGCGGUAAUUC
rnacentral:rRNA from 1 species